AUUGAACGCUGGCGGCAUGCUUUACACAUGCAAGUCGAACGGUAACAGGGUGCUUGCACCGCUGACGAGUGGCGAACGGGUGAGUAAUGCGUCGGAACGUGCCGAGUAGUGGGGGAUAACGCAGCGAAAGUUGUGCUAAUACCGCAUACGUACUGAGGUAGAAAGUGGGGGACCUUCGGGCCUCACGCUAUUCGAGCGGCCGACGUCUGAUUAGCUAGUAGGUGAGGUAAAGGCUCACCUAGGCGACGAUCAGUAGCGGGUCUGAGAGGAUGACCCGCCACACUGGGACUGAGACACGGCCCAGACUCCUACGGGAGGCAGCAGUGGGGAAUUUUGGACAAUGGGCGAAAGCCUGAUCCAGCCAUGCCGCGUGUCUGAAGAAGGCCUUCGGGUUGUAAAGGACUUUUGUCAGGGAGGAAAUCCCUAGUGCUAAUAACACUGGGGGAUGACAGUACCUGAAGAAUAAGCACCGGCUAACUACGUGCCAGCAGCCGCCGUAAGAC
rnacentral:rRNA from 1 species